rnacentral:tRNA from 1 species
ACCCGGAUGGCGAAACCGGUAGACGCGUGAGACUUAAAAUCUCCUGCCUCAUAAGGGCGUGCGGGUUCGAGUCCCGCUCCGGGUA